AGUCCAUGCCGGCGGUGUGUGAAGAAGGGCCUUAUGGGUGUAAAAGCACUUUAUGCGAAGGAGGGAGGCUACUUUAGUAAAUACCUAGAGAUAGUGGACGUUACUCGCAGAAUAAGCACCCGGCUAACUCUGUGCCAGCAGCCGCGGGUAAUACAGAGGGUGCAAGCGUUAAUCGGAUUUACUGGGCGUAGAGCGCGCGUAGGCGGCUAAUUUAGUCAAAUGUGAAAUCCCCGAGCUUAACUUGGGAAUUGCAUUCGAUACUGGUUAGCUAGAGUGUGGGAGAGGAUGGUAGAAUUCCAGGUGUAGCGGUGAAAUGCGUAGAGAUCUGGAGGAAUACCGAUGGCGAAGGCAGCCAUCUGGCCUAACACUGACGCUGAGGUGCGAAAGCAUGGGGAGCAAACAGGAUUAGAUACCCUGGUAGUCCAUGCCGUAAACGAUGUCUACUAGCCGUUGGGGCCUUUGAGGCUUUAGUGGCGCAGCUAACGCGAUAAGUAGACCGCCUGGGGAGUACGGUCGCAAGACUAAAACUCAAAUGAAUUGACGGGGGCCCGCACAAGCGGUGGAGCAUGUGGUUUAAUUCGAUGCAACGCGAAGAACCUUACCUGGCCUUGACAUAGUAAGAACUUUCCAGAGAUGGAUUGGUGCCUUCGGGAACUUACAUACAGGUGCUGCAUGGCUGUCGUCAGCUCGUGUCGUGAGAUGUUGGGUUAAGUCCCGCAACGAGCGCAACCCUUUUCCUUAUUUGCCAGCGAGUAAUGUCGGGAACUUUAAGGAUACUGCCAGUGACAAACUGGAGGAAGGCGGGGACGACGUCAAGUCAUCAUGGCCCUUACGGCCAGGGCUACACACGUGCUACAAUGGUCGGUACAAAGGGUUGCUACCUAGCGAUAGGAUGCUAAUCUCAAAAAGCCGAUCGUAGUCCGGAUUGGAGUCUGCAACUCGACUCCAUGAAGUCGGAAUCGCUAGUAAUCGCGGAUCAGAAUGCCGCGGUGAAUACGUUCCCGGGCCUUGUACACACCGCCCGUCACACCAUGGGAGUUUGUUGCACCAGAAGUAGCUAGCCUAACUGCAAAGAGGGCGGUUAACCCACCGGGGUG
rnacentral:rRNA from 1 species